GACGAACCGUGCGAACGUUAUUCGGAAUCACUGGGCUUAAAGCGCGUGUAGGCGGGCCGGCACGUCGGACGUUGAAAUCCCCCGGCUCAACCGGGGAAGGGGCGCCGAUACGACCGGCCUGGAGGAACGUAGGGGGAGCUGGAACUUCCGGUGGAGCGGUGAAAUGCGUUGAGAUCGGAAGGAACGCCCGUGGCGAAAGCGAGCUCCUGGACGUUUUCUGACGGCUGAGACGCGGAAAGC
rnacentral:rRNA from 1 species